UACGUAGGGCGCGAGCGUUGUCCGGAAUUAUUGGGCGUAAAGAGCUCGUAGGCGGUCUGUCGCGUCUGGUGUGAAAAUCCAGGGCUUAACCCUGGACCUGCAUCGGGUACGGGCAGACUAGAGUGCGGUAGGGGAGAUCGGAAUUCCUGGUGUAGCGGUGAAAUGCGCAGAUAUCAGGAGGAACACCGGUGGCGAAGGCGGAUCUCUGGGCCGUAACUGACGCUGAGGAGCGAAAGCAUGGGGAGCGAACAGG
rnacentral:rRNA from 1 species